UUCGCCCUUAGAGUUUGAUCCUGGCUCAGGACGAACGCUGGCGGCGUGCCUAACACAUGCAAGUCGAACGGAGAUAUUUAUUUCGGUAGAUAUCUUAGUGGCGCACGGGUGAGUAACGCGUGAAUAACCUGACCCGAAGAGGGGGAUAACACCUGGAAACAAGUGCUAAUACCGCAUAAGACCACGGACCGGCAUCGGUCAGAGGUCAAAGGAGGAAUCCGCUUUGGGAGGGGUUCGCGUCCCAUUAGGUAGUUGGUGAGGUAACGGCCCACCAAGCCGACGAUGGGUAGCCGAGCUGAGAGGCUGAUCGGCCACACUGGAACUGAGACACGGUCCAGACUCCUACGGGAGGCAGCAGUGGGGAAUAUUGGGCAAUGGGCGCAAGCCUGACCCAGCAACGCCGCGUGAGGGAAGAAGGUUUUCGGAUUGUAAACCUCUGUCGCAGGGGACGAAGGAAGUGACGGUACCCUGUAAGAAAGCCCCGGCUAACUACGUGCCAGCAGCCGCGGUAAUACGUAGGGGGCGAGCGUUGUCCGGAAUUACUGGGCGUAAAGGGAGCGUAGGCGGUCGAUUAAGUUAGAUGUGAAACCCCCGGGCUUAACUUGGGGACUGCAUCUAAUACUGGUUGACUUAGAGUACAGGAGAGGGAAGCGGAAUUCCUAGUGUAGCGGUGAAAUGCGUAGAUAUUAGGAGGAACACCAGUGGCGAAGGCGGCUUUCUGGACCGACACUGACGCUGAGGCUCGAAAGCGUGGGGAGCAAACAGGAUUAGAUACCCUGGUAGUCCACGCUGUAAACGAUGAAUACUAGGUGUAGGGGGUAUCAACUCCCUCUGUGCCGCAGCAAACGCAAUAAGUAUUCCGCCUGGGGAGUACGGCCGCAAGGUUGAAACUCAAAGGAAUUGACGGGGGCCCGCACAAGCAGCGGAGCAUGUGGUUUAAUUCGAAGCAACGCGAAGAACCUUACCAAGUCUUGACAUCUCCCUGACAGAGUAUGUAAUGUACUUUUCCUUCGGGACAGGGAAGACAGGUGGUGCAUGGUUGUCGUCAGCUCGUGUCGUGAGAUGUUGGGUUAAGUCCCGCAACGAGCGCAACCCUUAUCCUCAGUAGCCAGCGGUUCGGCCGGGCACUCUGUGGAGACUGCCAGGGAUAACCUGGAGGAAGGUGGGGAUGACGUCAAAUCAUCAUGCCCCUUAUGACUUGGGCUACACACGUGCUACAAUGGCGUAAACAAAGGGAAGCAAGAGAGCGAUCUGGAGCAAAUCCCAAAAAUAACGUCCCAGUUCGGAUUGUAGUCUGCAACUCGACUACAUGAAGCUGGAAUCGCUAGUAAUCGCGAAUCAGAAUGUCGCGGUGAAUACGUUCCCGGGUCUUGUACACACCGCCCGUCA
rnacentral:rRNA from 1 species